GGACAUUCCGGCCCAAGGACUUACUAACUGGGUGACCUUGGGGCGAGAAUGUAGUCAUAGUUCCCUAAGCUUUAUGGGAAGAAGCUCAGAUCCACUCUUGCAGCGGGACACCGUGAGACAUCACUCCCAAGUGCAGAGGGACGGGUCAGUUCAUUUCAUAGACUCAAAUUACGGAACCUUCAGAGGGUGAUGGGAAAGUUCCCUUUGCCCCGACAAUGUGUAUGCCCA